GGAUUCCUUUAGUAAUGGCGAAUGAAGAAGGAUUAGCUCAACAUGAAAAUUGGGGCUUCUGGCCUUGAAUUGUAGUUUGAAGAUGCAUUUGCCAAUGGACAUGAUAAUGAAAGCCUUUUGGGAAAAAGCAUCAACGAGGGUGAGAAUCCUUCUUGACAUUUCAAUUGUCCAUGUACGGUGUGCAUUGAAGAUUCACGUUCCUUGGGAUUUGAACGCAAACUUGUUGGUAAAUUUCAUUUAAAGCUAAAUAUUGGUUUGAGACCGAUAGAAAACAAGUACCAUGAGGGAAAAGUGAAAAGGACUUUGAAAAGAAAGUUAAAAGUGCUUGAAAUUGCUGAAGAGGAAGCGGGUGUAUUUCAAACACAAUUUUCAAGAUUGUUGUGCAUAUCUUUGAUUUCUUGUUGUCUUGACUUCAUCGCAGCAGCAAGACCUAUUAGUGAAUGUACAAUGUUGCUUGUGUUUUGUGCCUUCAUCGAUUUACAGCUAUAGAAACAACCUAAACAUGACUAUUUGCUCUUGUGCAAAUGAACGUUUGGGUGCAGAUUUAGCUUGUGAAUCGCCUUGCUUCUUGUUGUGUUGAUACCUCGGUGUCCACAACAUGAAAAUGAUGGCCAAAGAAAUACAUUCGGCCCGUCUUGAAACACGGACCAAGGAGUUUAACACAUGUGCAAGUUUGGUGUGUGAUGCUUCUUUGCGCAAUGAAAAUGAUAUUUGGUAUAUUCUUGCACCAAUAACCAACCGCUCAAUUGUGAGAGGUUUGAGUAUGAGCAUAUUUGUUAAGACCCGAAAGAUGGUGAACUAUGCCUGGGAAGGGUAAAUUCAGGGGAAACUCUGAUGGAGGCUCGUAGCGAUACUGACGUGCAAAUCGUUCGUCAUACU
rnacentral:rRNA from 1 species